rnacentral:lncRNA from 1 species
GUAUUAUAUAAUAUAUAAUUAUAUAAUCUUUAAUCUUAACAUGGGACAUUAGUAUCCUUUUUACUUUAUUUUCCUGUUUUGCUUUUAUGUAAUAUUUCAAAAGGUUUUGUUUUUCAUGUAAUUAGAAAUCUAAGUGCUAAACCAUCAUGCUGAGUUUGGGAGGGCUUGAGAGGGAUGGAGAUGGCACCUACCCUCCCCCAGGUGUGAUCACCCAUUCAUGUCUACUCACAUGCAGGGGCAGAAGCUUCUAUGCCCACUCUGCAGCCCUGGACACCCUGCACUCAAAUGUGCACUUAGCAUCAUACUUUCAAAGUUAUUAGUAGCAUUUCAUAUUUAAGUAUUGAAAGAUUUCUCCCUCUUUCCCAGAUCUCUAAAUUCUAAGGAAAAACAGUACCAGGGUACCCAGGAGAGUGGCCAUAUUAGACACAAUGGGUCUCUGCUCCUGAGCCUGCUCACAGUCUCUCCUUACUCUUGCCUCCUCUUCCAUGCCCUGGGGUCCCAGUUGCUGUUCUCAGCCUUGGAUUGAGGCUGGUGCAGUGGAUACAGGUUGUUUCUCCACAGGUGGCAGGUCAUGGCAGUGUUCAUAGUGGAUCUGACAGGUAGGGUGUCGGCAGCAGUGUGGCCACUUUGGUGAUGGGGUGUGGUUCAGCACUUUACUCAGCAUGAACCUGUACAGCAGCUGGUGGAACUGCAGGGCUGGCUCUGAGGGAUAGGGUCUAUGUGCUGCCUGAGAGCUGGGCCCCUCCACCUUUCUGCAACCCAAAGAACCAAGUCCCAGGGCCCUGUGGGAGCUCUGAGUAGCCUUCCAUCCUGUACCUGAUCUGAAUGAUCUGUUUCUGGGGCCUGGUGCUUUUCCUCCUCCUGCACUGCUUCUGCUACAACCACCACGUGUCUUACUAGAUCAGGUUUGUGGGCUGCUAGGAAGAACAUCAUUAUAGUCCAGCUUAUGGUGAGUUAAAGGGCGUAAGUCUAAGGGGUGGGACCAGGGGCCACCCAAAGUUCCCUCCCAGGUCCUUCCACCCCAAGUAGAAGGCAUAACCCUGGAGAGACGGUGGUAGAAACACUUAACAGAGGUUGUGCCUCGGCAUCUGGAGGAGGUCCUCUGGCGUAAGGACUCUUGAUUACCAAGAGGGAGCCCUGUGAACUAAAAUGUGGGAUAGCCAUUAUGGUCCUCAUUUGAGGAGUGGUACCAGCACUGGGUAGGAAGCGG